rnacentral:rRNA from 1 species
CCUACGGGCGGCAGCAGUGAGGAAUAUUGGUCAAUGGGCGCAAGUCUGAACCAGCCAUGCCGCGUGCAGGAAGACGGCUCUAUGAGUUGUAAACUGCUUUUGUACGAGGGUAAACCCCGAUACGUGUAUCGGGUUGAAAGUAUCGUACGAAUAAGGAUCGGCUAACUCCGUGCCAGCAGCCGCGGUAAUACGGAGGAUCCGAGCGGUAUCCGGAUUUAUUGGGUUUAAAGGGUUCGUAGGCUGUCUGAUAAGUUAGAGGUGAAAUGUCGGGGCUCAACCACGGAACUGCCUCUGAUACUGUUUGGCUAGAGAGUAGUUGCGGUAGGCGGAAUGUAUGGUGUAGCGGUGAAAUGCUUAGAUAUCAUACAGAACACCGAUUGCGAAGGCAGCUUACCAAACUAUAUCUGACGUUGAGGCACGAAAGCGUGGGGAGCAAACAGGAUUAGAUACCCGAGUAGUC